UACAUUGGUAACGACCUUAAUGUUCACAUUAAAGAGGCAAAGAGUAACAGAGACACACAGAGAAAUAAUUUGCGAGUCUUUGAUUCUUUAUUGUAGGGCUGUUUGGCGUCAUGGAAGUAGGUAUUUGGAUUUCAUUUACCAAUCCUUAUGAUGGUAUUGAACUUCUGUGUAAGUUUUGUAUAUGGUUUGUAUGUUCUCAUAUCAUUUGGUACUCUACAUUCUUAGUUAUCCUAGACAGCGUAUUUAGAUUUGUUGUAGGGACCAGGUUUUUGUUUGUUUGUUUGGCUGCGGCCCGCAGCAUGAGGAAUUUCCCCGGUCAGGGUUGGAACUUGUGCCACAGUAGUGACCCAAGCCAUGGCAGUGACAAUGCCAGAUCCUUUGCCUGCUGUCCCACAAGAGAACUCCCAGGCACAGAUUUUUAAAACAUUUUUGAUGCUUUUCUACAUAUAGCUUCUGCAUGAAUUAUUUAAGUCCAUACAAAAGUUUUCUGUAGCUUGAAAUGUUUUGGGUACAGGUCUUGAGGAAUAUAUGCAGAGUUACACACGUGAGGUUCUGCUCUCACAUACAUAGUGGUGAGUUUACUGUGUAAAGAAUUGUGAUCAUGAAUCAGAGGUGGAUUUCUUUUCAAUUGUGGUUUUUUUUUUUUUUUUUUUUUUUUUGACUGCCCCCAAGCCAUGUGAAAGUUCCCAGGCUAAGGAUCAAACCUGUACCACAGCAGCCACCCAAGCUGCCUCCAUAACAACACCAGAUCCUUAACCUGCUGCACCAUGAAAGAGCUCUUUAAUAUAUAUAUUUUUAAUUUAACUCUAUGUACCAUUCCUGACAUGUAUUUUAAAUAAAGCCAGAUGAUCAUAAAGUCUCAUAUAUAGGUCUUAAGAAUUAGAAUGAUUGGUACUUUUCUUCAUUAAGAAUUCAAAAUUGACCAUAUAUUCUUAUUGACAAAUUAUAAUUUCAGAAUGCUUUAUAUGUAUUUCAAAUUGAUCUUCAGUUAGCAGUGGGUACUUGAAGUUUUAUUGUUCCCAGGCUAGGGGUUGAAUCGGAGCUGUAGCCACCGGCCUACGCCAGAGCCACAGCAAUGCGGGAUCCGAGCCGCGUCUGUGACCUACACCACAGCUCACGGCAACGCCGGAUCCUUAAACCACUGAGCAAGGGCAGGGAUCGAACCCGCAACCUCAUGGUUCCUAGUCGGAUUCGUUAACCACUGCGCCACGACGGGAACUCCUUGAGCAUUUAUUUAUUUAUUUUUUUUGUCUUUUUAGGGCUGUACCCGUGGCAGAUGGAAGUUCCCAGGCUAGGGGUUGAAUCGGAGCUGCAGCCGCUGGCCUAUGCCACACCCACAGCAACGCGGGAUCUGAGCCAUGUCUCCAACCUACACCACAGCUCAUGGCAACACUGGAUCCUUAACCCACUCUGUAAGGCCAGGGAUCAAAACCUGUGUCCUCAUGGAUGCUCGUCAGAUUUGUUUCCGCUGAACCACGAUGGGAACUCCUGAGCAUGAAUUCUUGGUACGUUUAUUUAUAAAUUACAUAUACUGGGCUAUUAUUUAUGUAAUAGAAUAUAAAUGCCGAGAGAUAAAUUGAAUAUAACGAAAAGUUAUAUUUCCUUAUUACCUACUCCAUUGGACUGUGUUUUGUUCAUGUUUUGGGGUUCAAGAACCCCAUUUUGGAAACCAUAGGGCAAAAUUGGGCCAUUAUUAGACCAAGCUUAGGUGAAUUCCAUGAGAUCAAGGACUUUUCUUGCUCGCUGCUAUAUCUUCAGCAUCUAAAACAUGGGAGCGUGGUGGAUGCUGUUGAAUGAAUAGGCAGAAUUAGGCUGGUUGGUAGGGAUGAGGACAGAGUCUAGCUUAGCACAGAGGGAUCUGAUAAGAAUAGAAACAAUUUUUGUCUGUUGCUGUUAGCUCCCUUGCCUAUAAAAGUGCCUGCCACAUAGUAGAGACUCAGUAAAUAUUAGUUGACUGAGUUAGUGGUGUAGAGAGUGUGCAACUCAGCAGGAGGGAUCUGGCAGACACCAGAGAUAAGCAUGAAAAGGUAAAUUCCAGGAGGUUCCCUCAAGCAGAACAGGAGGCCAGAGAUAGGCAUGAAAAGGUAAAUUCCAGGAAGUUUCCUAAAGUAGGACGGUAAAUGGAGAUAGACUAGCUAUAAGCGGGCAGAAAAAUACAGCCAGUGUGGGGAGGGGCGGCGGUCACAGUGUUAGCAAGAACAUCUCAGAGGAAUAGCUUUGGUAUCCUCGUAUCUUAAAAACUGUGACCUUCUUAAAUAAGAUCUGGGAGUCUGCGACCAUGAGGAUGUAGGUUCGAUCUCUGGCCUCACUCAGUGGGUUAAGGAUCUGACGUUGCCAUGAGCUGUGAUGUAGGUUGCAGACGUGGCUCAGAUCUCACACUACUGUGGCUGUGGCAUAGGUCAGUGGCUACAGCUCCGAUUCGACCCCUAGCCUGGGAACCUCUUGCUUCGGGUACGGCCUUACAGAAAAGAAAUAAGAUCUGUAUUUGACUCGUCUUUGUACCCACAGUGCAUAGAACAUAGUAUAGUAGGUGUCUGAUUCAUUUUUGUUGAAUUGCUCUGUUUUAUGCUACAUAGUAGAUUUAGGAGGCUCUGCAUGACCAGGAAUGGAUCGGUGUAAAGAUCAGAGGCCUGUAAAUGAAUCCUGCUCUGAUUGAAGCAAAGCCAGUGUUACUGGGAUUACCUCAUAACACAGACAUGGUUUUAAGCCUUGGCAGUGUUGCCUGCACAGAGGUGCUCUGGUGACCACAACUGCCAAAUCGUAUUGAGCUGUUUAUUUAAAUGUCAUUAUUAACAUACUUUUUUUUUUCUUUUUUUUUUAAAUGGCCCCCCCCCCCGAAUGGCAUAUGGAAGUUCCUGGGCCUGGAAUUGAAUUUGAGCUGCAGCUGUGACCUGUGCCACAGCUACGGCAACACUGGAUCCAUUAACCCAACUGAGCACUGAACCUGGCCAGGGGUCAAAUCUGCGCCUCAGCAGAAAGCUGAGCUGCUGCGUUGGAUUCUUAAUCUGCACCAUGGUGGGAACUCCUUAACAUGCUUUUAUCAACACUUUGUCAAUGAAGAAAAUGGAGUUUGUGAUAGAAUUCAUUCUUUCUGCCUUCCUGCCUUCCUUCCUCCCUCCCUCCUUCCUUUCCUUCUCUACCGCCUCGUGGCAUACUGAGCUCCCAGGCCAGGGGAGCUGCAUUUGUGACCUGUGCCACAGUUGUGGCACCAGAUCCUCUAACCCACAGUACCAGGCUGGGGAUAGAACCUGUAUCCUGGUGCUGCAAGACGCACUGAUCCUGUUGCACCACAGUGGGAAUUCCAGAAUCUUAUCUUUUCUUUUCUUUUUUAGGGCAGCACCUGUGGCAUAUGGAAGUUCCCAGGCCAGGGGUUGAAUCAGAGCUGAAGCUGCCAGCCUACACCGCAGCUCAUGGCAAUGCCACAUCUUCAACCCACUGAGCGAGACCAGGGAUUAAACCUGCAUUCUCAUGGACACUAGUCGCGUUUGUUACUGUUGAGCCACGACGGGAGCUCCUGGAAUUAUUUCUUACAUGCUGUCAUCUUUUGUUUUCUUCCUUCAUCACCAAAGCCAGCAUAUACCAUGGAUGACCCUCAUAUAUACUAUCAUAAUUAGGACUGAAUUUAUUUAUAAACAGAUAAAGUGGUUUGUAUUUUCCCUCUCAUUUUUACAAUUUUCUUAUUCAGACUUCCUCUUUAAAAAGAUGUUAAAAGUUCUUGUUUUGUGGUCAUAAUAAAAUAAACCUGUCAUGCAUUUUGGUGGGAGUGGUCAGAGGUGGGGAAAACAGACAUUUCCCAUGAGAAGCAGCUAUGGCAUUAGCUCUCUCCUUUAGAAGCUGGCCAGAUGAAGGCAUCCUUCUUUGGCUCUGACACUCUGGUCGAGACAGGUACCCCUUUCCUCCCACCACAGUUCAGUCUCAUUUAGGGCAAAUUUAUUUAAAGCAGUUUCACAUCUGCACAAUUAAUAAAUUACUAUGCUCUAAUUUGCAUUUCUGAUGUCUUGUAGUAAGCACAGCAAGUUCCCCUUUGCCCUUACAAAAAAACAGUUCAGUCUGCCCAAGCUUCCUAGAGCUGAAUAAAAAUUUCCCAAGAGCCCUCCUGCAUCUUUAGCAUACUCUUCAUAUAAAGGCUUAAACUGUUAAAACUUCUUUGCUCUCAUCCUUUUGGUCAUUAAGUCAUUGCAGGCACAAUAGUAAUCUGUGUCUUACCCUUGUUGUGCAGUCUAGAGUUUAUACUGAUUUCACCAACAUCUUAUUGGCUCUUUAUAAAUAUGCUGUGAAGUAGAUAUCAGGGUAUCAUUAGUCCCAGUUUUGCAGAUGAGGAAAUAGGUUCAUUGUUGUCUGAGUUUGCAGUGGCUUUCCCCCGCCCUGUGACAAAACCCCUGUUUUCCUCUAGAGGUCUGCCCACUGUGAAGAACAGAAUCUAUCUUAUUUAAACUAAGGUUAUUUUUUUUCUUUUUCUUACUUUCAACUGGAUAAGUUAUUGUAAAUACCUGGAACUACAGUGGCAUAGUCAGUAUGGUUGUUUAAUUGUUAAUGCCCUGUGGGCUAUAAAAUAUCAAUAGAAUGGGCCUUAAAUUCUUGGUGCAUUUAAAUCUAUUUGUGUAUUUAAAUAAGUGUUCUCAGAUCUUGUGGAACGACUGUCCAUUUGACUUAACUUUUUUACAGCUUGUGAUGGAAAAUUAAAUGCAUAGGGACCUCACACUGACAGAGAAUGUGCUUUGAAGUGUAUAUUAGGAUUCUUAAGUGAAAUUUGGAUUAUGUAUUGGGGCCAUUUUUUUUUUUCCUGUGAGACAUAUUUCUGAAAUUAUGAUGAAAUUUAAUUGGAGAAUAUGAAUUGGUAUCUAGCUUUCUCAGCUACACCCAUUUUUGGAAGACAUUCAUAUUAUAAGGUGAUAUCAA
rnacentral:lncRNA from 1 species